ensembl:lncRNA
GGGGUUAAUGGGAGUUAAUUAAGGAGUGAGGGGGAGGGAUGGGAGGACGAGGGUGUGGCAUCCUAAUGAGGUACGGUAAUUAGCGGUUAAUUAGUGCUAAUUGGGGUUAAUUAGGGGAGGGGAGGGGGUGGGGGUGGAUUAAUUGGGCUUAAUUGGGGGUUAAUUGGGUGUUAAGUGGGUUUCAUUAAGGGGUGAGAGGGAGGAAUGGAAGCAGGCGGGUGUGGCAUCCUAAUGAGGUACGGUAAUUAGCGGUUAAUUAGUGGUAAUUAGUGGUAAUUGGGGUUAGUUAGGGGGGGAGGGGGGUUAAUUGGGGUUAAUGGGGGUUAAUUGGGGGUUAAUUAAGGAGGAGGGGGGAGGGAUGGGAGGACGAGGGUGUGGCAUCCUAAUGAGGUACGGUAAUUAGCGGUUAAUUAGUGGUAAUUAGUGGUAAUUGGGGUUAAUUGGGGGAGGGGAGGGGGGUUAAUGGGGGUUAAAUGGGGUUAAUUGGGG